UCUGCAGUUUGACAUGCACAGCUCCCACACCCCAGCGGGGAAACCCUGUGGACGGUGAUGGUCCUCAGGAAGUCUGUAACUCACUGCACACUGAUAGCAGGGGAAAGCCAUCAUGUGUGUUACAAAACGAGGGAAAUAAUAAGGACCAGAGCACUAAUGAGGCACGGCCAGUUCCUGAUAAGGGAGACCCAGGAGACGUGUCCUGCUUCUUCCAUCUCAUGGCAACAUAGAGCAAAAUAACUCUAUAAGCUGGAAAGCUGGUUUCAACCAGAUGCCAACUUUUCCUUCAUCUUGGACUUCCUGGAGCAGAGAGAUUCCCUAAAAAUGUUACUGCCUCCAGACAGCUGGAAGUAAAUUUACAAUCACUAUACCCAAGAUUCCCAAGAGAUAGUCCAUCUUAUCUUUGAUUCUACAGCAUGGGACCUAGUCCAAACAGUUCAGAUGACAAUAUUAUGGGACUUGUAAAUGACCAGUCUCUGAUAUGCCCACUCCCACUCAUUUCUUAUAUCAUAUUUAUUUUUCUAAUUGGCAGCAUAAAGCCUUUUGUUCUAUGAUUUUGCUUUGUGUGGGAUAUUAAGAUUUUGAAUAAAUAUGACUUGCUUAUUAAGUAUA